AACAUACAGAAGGGAUAAUUAUCACCUGUGUUCAUCUGGAGCCUGGGCAGAGCCUAAUGAAGACCCUGCAGCCCUUUUCUGGUUUCUACAUGCUCAGUGUUUGCUAACCAAUUCAUCCCUGGAAAUGGUUUUCUACAGAGGUUGCUUGGCGUGACUGUCUUUAUUUGCAUCACCCAUGUGGUUCCUUACUGCAGAUCAACUUGGACUGCAGACCGAUCCGACAGACAGCAGCAGUGAGAGACCCGGCAGAGACGCUGGCCUCAGUUUCCCUGACCACCGACCCAGGAAGUACUCUGCCAGGAUCCUCAAACUUCGCCCCCGCCGCUCUGACCUCAAAUAACGUGCUGAGACCGCCUCGGACAGACGCCUAAACACAAACAGUUUUCAUUUCUAAUUCCAGCUGGUUGCCACAUGCGAUGGCAGCGACUCCAUCAGUCCAGCGCUCCUCCAGGUGGUCCACAAGGUCCCGCCUUAGCCGCGCCCACAGGAG